rnacentral:rRNA from 1 species
CGCUUUAUGAUUUAUAUAUAAAGUAUAACCUGCCCAAUGAUUAUUUGAAUGGCCGCAGUAUUUUGACUGUGCAAAGGUAGCAUAAUAAUUAGUUUUUUAAUUAAAAGCUUGUAUGAAUGGUUGGACGAGAUAAAAUCUUUAUUAAUAUAAUUUAUAUUAGAAUUUAAUAUUUGAGUUAAAAAGCUUAAAUUUUUUUAAAAGACGAGAAGACCCUAUAGAUCUUUAUUAAUUUAUUUAAGUAUAAUGUUAGAUUUAAUUUGUUAUAUAUUAAUUUAAUUAAUUUUGUUGGGGUAAUAUAAAGAUUUAAUUAAUUCUUUAUUAUAAAAACAUUAAUUUAUGAGUUUUUGAUCCUUUAUUAAAGAUUAAAAGAUUAAGUUACCUUAGGGAUAACAGCGUAAUUUUUUUGUAGAGUUCAUAUCGAUAAAAAAGAUUGCGACCUCGAUGUUGGAUUAAAAUUUAUUAUUGGUGUAGAAGCUAGUAAAUUUGGUCUGUUCGACCAUUAAAAUUUU